GUAAACCACACUGUGAUCAUCAGAUGAAGGGUGGUGCAGAAAUUUAAUAAACUAAUAAACUAAAAUAAUGCAUAGAUAGAUGUCCCAGCUACAGAUUACAAAUAGUAAGCUCCUUGUUGAGCAGAUAAACUUUCUAGUAAAAAGAAUGUGGAACAAUAUAGGAAGUGUCCAAGCUGCUAUAACACACUGCAGAUUUGGCAUGCUUACUAGCAAGUAACUUCUGAAUUUGCUUUUGCAUAUGUAGACUGCAUGCAUGCUGAGAACAGUGUAGAAAUGUUUUUUGACAAGGAGAGUUUGUCCUUUUUGGUCCUGGAAAUAAAAGAAGUAAUCUCUGCUGAUGGAAUAAAGCCCAGUAUCCCUUGUGGAAGAUUGGCACUUGAUUUGGUGCAUACAGUUAUAUAUUUGUAUGAAUACUGGUUUCUUUUUAACCCUUUGCCAUAAUCACAACAACCAGUUUCACAAGAGAGUGAUGAAGAAUUACCUAUUUAUCCAAAAUCUUUCAGUUUCUGUUUAAAUUUCGCUAUCAAAGGUUGCUGGACUAAACUGAGAAUGACCUUGAACAUGUUACAAUAUUUUGCCUGUGGUUUACACUGGUGGAUAUGUGGCAUGGAAUAUUUAUUUCAAAUUAAGAAUUCAAAUUCUUUUUUACUGUAAGUCUGAAAAAUAAUUUUGAAUUUUUGUUUGGUGGGGAGCAAAUGUGUUGUUUGUGGAUGGGGGACUUCUUGAUUAUUAUUCCUACAUGAUAUUUCAGUCUAUAACAGACCUUAUUGCAAAGCAGCAAUAAUUUCAGUUUAAGCGAUUGUCUGUAGGAACAAAGAGCAGCUAGGCUGCUUGGUAUGUCAUCAGGGAGAAUGAGUAUGUUCUCUGUCGUUAUCCAGAAUGGCAUUUGUCUGCUCCCCAAAAACUUAUUUUUAUUUUAGGGCGGGGGCGAGAGGGAUUUUAAUUUUAUCAGUCUUCAGUUUUUUUGAUGACUCCAUGAGAGGUGUCUCAAGAGAAAUGUAAUUGGCACUUCCUGUCUAGUAAUGAUCUCUUUGAGAGUCUUGAUGUUAUGUGACAGAUAAAUAAGAUCCUUAAAGAUCAUAUUUAAGUAGCUUUAGCUGGAAAACAUCAAAAAAAUCGUCAGUAUUUAUAUAAAAGGGCACCUGUCUCUAAGAGAGAUUGCUUCAGCUAAGACCCAAUUACCUUAAAUAUAUAUACAGAUGAAUGAAAAACUGAGAUAUAUCAGACAACGUAAAAAUAAUCCAGUUUCUUUAUGCAAUGAUGAUUACAGUAGAUGGUUCCGUCCUACAGCAAUAAUUGCAUCUAACUGUGUCAAAUCCAAUGACUUUUCCACAAUGCAAGUGUCAGCUAGGAUGUAUUAGCUUGACAGAAAAAAAAUCUGCCAAUUAUUUGGUAAGUGUGUAAAGUUUGAAGGCAAGCUCGGUGAAAGCCAGCUAGCAAAGGAAAAAGUUUUCCCUGGUGGUUAUAGGGAAGCCUGCUCAUUAGGAUUGUCUCUGGGGAUCAAAGACAAGGUCCUUUUCCAGUUAAUUCUUCCUCUUGGAUGAGAGGCUCCACACAUAUUCAGGCUUGCCCUGUCUUAGCAACCAGUAGAAAGCUUAUUGUGCUGUUUCAAGUAAAGAGACCAUUAAAAAGAUAGAGAGAGAAUAAUUUUGAUUGUUUUUUGUAGCUAGGAUCAAUUACAGUGGUACCUCAGGUUAAGUACUUAAUUCGUUCCGGAGGUCUGUUCUUAACCUGAAACUGUUCUUAACCUGAAGCACCACUUUAGCUAAUGGGGCCUCCUGCUGCCGCCAUGCCGCCGCACGAUUUCUGUUCUCAUCCUGAAGCAAAGUUCUUAACCCGAGGUACUAUUUCUGGGUUAGCGGAGUAUGUAACCUGAAGCGUAUGUAACCCGAGGUACCACUGUAUACAAGGGAUUAGAAUGCUUUGGCUUUUGUAAUAACUUCUUUUCCCACAGCAGCACAAGACAGACCUGACCAGUCACCCCAUGGUAUUUUCAUGCCAAAAUAUUGAGGGAUCUAAAACCCCUACUUCAGAGUGGCUGAGGCUCACACAGAAUUUGCCAUGUUCAGGCCUACUUCCUUCUCUUGUAUUAGAAUGGACAGGCCAUUCACUUCUUCUGAGACAACAUGGAGUAGAAACUAGGAAAAUAAAUGGAUGGAAUAGUAGUUGGUGGAGCCUUUCUGCACAAUGUCACCAUCAGAGGCAGUUUAGGAUUGUAUCCAAUGAAGUCAUUGCACUUGUGGAAUUCAUUCCACUUAUGCAGCAGAACAUCUCCUCCCUUGUGCUUCCCUGCCAUCCUCCCCCCUUCAAACAAAUAUGUACCAAGGGUUCCCCUAUUCCUCCAGGGCAUAUUUGGGAGUGCAGGAGACGAGGGGGAAAGUUUCAUCGUGCCAGUGGAAGUCGUUCUGGGGAUACAAUGGGAGUACUAGCUUAUUCCCCCCCCCAAUAGCACUUUUUCAAGUAUCUUCACAAAGCCUGGGAUCCAUUCUGAUCUCCACUUGAUCCAGUCUUCCUUGAGUUGGUGAGAAAGGUUACUGCAAGGGAGAUUCAUGUAGCCCAAACUUGUUCAAGCGUUUCAAAUGUAAUAAGAAGCACAAAGCUAGAGUCAUACACCAAAGCAGGAGCUAUACCCAAUUCUGUGAAAAGAGCCCUUCCUUAGAAGGUAUAUAGCCCAUUUCUGUCUCUUUCCAUUCUUACCUAGACCAGCGUCCAAAAUCCCAGCUGCUGGCUCUGACCUGGUUCUAGAUCCAAUAACAAAAGAGUAAUAUCUUCCUCGGUCACAGGUUUAGGAAGUGAUCUUGGCACCUUCUCCACAGAAUCUGUUUUGGGUCCCCUCAUUGGCUUCUUUGCUAAAAAUAUCUACAACAAAUGAUGAGUCAGUAAACUUAAGAGGCAUUUAAUGCCUGGGCACACAUGAAUACUUGUAGCAUGAAUGACAUACGUUUGACACCUGAAGUGAACCACAGAAUGCUCCCCACCCCUGCCCUGGGGCAUGAAAGGAGGGGUAUGUGAAGAUCUACAUUGGGAACAAGGCGGGAAAUUAAAUCAACCUUACCUGAUUGUUGAACCUUACCCAUGGUCGAAAACCAUUUCGGUUGUGAUGGAGGCCUGUGAAUCACACUGGGUGGGUACAGAUCCCAGGAGACCACUAUAUUCUCCCUAGAGGUGGGAGGAAGCCAGCAGUGCCUCCUGUUUCCUGAGAGGCCACCGUAGAGGUGCCAUUGGGGGGCUGCUGAGAAGGUGACAGAUGUGGCCUCCAAGGAGCACACUACAGCUGUUACUGUGGUAUUGACAGCAGCAAUGGUAAAUCAUUCCUUGAAGGCCACAUCUGCUGCCUCUGUGGAUCCUGCCGCCUGAGGUAGGUGCCUCACCUUGCAUCAUGGGUGAGCCUACCCUGGGUUCUAGUCAAGUAGAUGUGCUGAGGCAUUCCACAGAUAACACAGAAUCACCAAGAAUGUUCUAUUCCUGAUAGUCAUUCACUUAAGAAAGUAGAAGUGUCCAGAUAUGGGGAUCCAGUGAAGACCUUAAUAGGUAGGCAACUGCAUUUGGGAGCUGGUGUUCCUUCAGAUACAGUAGUCCCAGAAUGUUCAGUGAGUGGUUUAUAAGUCAGACCCAGCACUUCUAAUUGUACCCAGAAGCAAGUUAGCAACCAUUGAAUUGUUUAAGUGUCAUAGAUAUAUGAUCAUGUCAACCAGCUAACAGUUUAGUGACUGUAUGAGUGACUGAAUGAGUUGAAGUUUCCAAAAGGCUGGCAUUAGCAGACCCAAGUUCAACUAACACAGGAGUCUAGCCUGGAUGUUAUGAAUGUAUGGAUGACUGUGGUUAGAUCAAAUUUAGUGACUCUAGUUUCCGUGCUAAGAUGCAAGGAACCAACCCCAAAGUAUUGCUUUGGGUUUUUUCAAUAGGCUUAUUGAGGAAGAGCAUGAUGAUCGGGAUCAGGCAAGCCUUCAAUCAGUUGUUAUAGGAUUUGUAAUAGGAAAGAUUUCCACAUAUGACCUGUCCAUAAUGUACAGGUUCAAUGAAAAUUAUCUGUAAUACACCAUGAUGUUGUUUUCUGAGCAUUUGGAUCAUGAAAUCCUUAAACAGAAUUGCUGUUAUGCAUACCAUGCAUUCUUGUUCAUGUUUAAAGAAGAAACAGUAGAAAUUUUGAUGC